rnacentral:tRNA from 1 species
GGGCUGUUAGCUCAGUUGGUAGAGCGCCUGCAUGGCAUGCAGGAGGUCAGCGGUUCGACCCCGCUACGGUCCACCA